UACGGAGGGUGCAAGCGUUAUCCGGAUUUACUGGGUUUAAAGGGUUCGCAGGCGGAUAUGUCAGUCAGUGGUGAAAUCUCCGGGCUUAACCCGGAAACUGCCGUUGAUACUAUAUAUCUUGAAUGCUGUGGAGGUAAGCAGAAUAUGUCAUGUAGCGGUGAAAUGCUUAGAGAUGACAUAGAAUACCUAUUGCGAAGGCAGCUUACUACGCAGAUAUUGACGCUCAUGCACGAAAGCGUGGGGAUCAAACAGG
rnacentral:rRNA from 1 species